rnacentral:tRNA from 1 species
AGGGAAAUAGCUCAGCGGCAGAGUGUGUGCUUAGCAUGCACGAAGCCCUGGGUUCAAUCCUCAGUACCUCCA